UACGGAGGGUGCGAGCGUUGUCCGGAAUCACUGGGCGUAAAGGGCGCGUAGGCGGCUUAUCAAGUCAGGCGUGAAAUUCCCGGGCUCAACCUGGGGGCUGCGCUUGAUACUGAUGAGCUUGAAUGCGGGAGAGGAUAGUGGAAUUCCCAGUGUAGAGGUGAAAUUCGUAGAUAUUGGGAAGAACACCGGUGGCGAAGGCGGCUAUCUGGCCCGUAAUUGACGCUGAGGCGCGAAAGCGUGGGGAGCAAACAGG
rnacentral:rRNA from 1 species